rnacentral:rRNA from 1 species
UCCCCUAGUAACGGCGAGUGAAGCGGGAAUAGCUCAAAUUUGAAAUCUCAGCUUUGCUGCGAAUUGUAGUUUAGAGAAACGUUUUCGGGGUCGGCAGCUAGUACAAGUUCUUUGGAACAAGGCAUCAUAGAGGGUGAAAAUCCCGUCUUUGACUAGCGGCUUGAUUCCAUGUGAUACGUUUUCCAAGAGUCGGUUUGUUUGGGAAUGCAGACCAAAAUGGGUGGUAAAUACCAUCUAAAGCUAAAUAUUGGCGAGAGACCGAUAGCGAACAAGUACCGUGAGGGAAAGAUGAAAAGAACUUUGAAAAGAGAGUUAAACAGUGCGUGAAAUUGUCAAAAGGGAAACGCUUAAAACCAGUAUUGUGGGCAGUAAUUCAACCUUUGGUGCAUUUUACUGCUUGCGAGUCAACAUCAGUUUGGUUUGGAGUAAAAAGCUAGAGGAAAGUGGCCCUUGGGUGUUAUAGCCUCUAGCCAUGCUCUGGACUAGACUGAGGUCUGCAGUGUAUAACACUUGGGAUGUUGACGAAAUGGUUUUAAACGACCCGUCUUGAAACACGGACCAAGGAGUCUAACAUAUAUGCGAGUAUUUGGGUGGUAAACCCUUAUGCGUAAUGAAAGUGAAAAGGUGGGAUCCUUUGUUGGUGCACCAUCGACCGCGCUUGAUCUACGAAUCUAGGCGUGAGUAUGAGCAUACAUGUUGGGACCCGAAA